UACAGAGGCCCCAAGCGUUACUGAGAAUCACUGGGUUUAAAGGGUGCGUAGGUGGUCCGUUAAGUCUGUUGUGAAAGCCCUUGGCUCAACCAAGGAAUUGCUUCGGAUACUGGCGGACUUGAGGCUAGUAGAGGUCACUGGAACUGACGGUGGAGCGGUGAAAUGCGUAGAUAUCGUCAAGAACGCCGGUGGUGAAGACGGGUGACUGGGCUAGUUCUGACACUGAGGCACGAAAGCGUGGGGAGCAAACAGG
rnacentral:rRNA from 1 species